rnacentral:rRNA from 1 species
AUUGAACGCUGGCGGAAUGCUUUACACAUGCAAGUCGAACGGCAGCACGGGGGCAACCCUGGUGGCGAGUGGCGAACGGGUGAGUAAUGUAUCAGAACGUGCCCAGUCGUGGGGGAUAACGUAGUGAAAAUUACGCUAAUACCGCAUACGAUCUACGGAUGAAAGCGGGGGAUCGCAAGACCUCGCGCGAUUGGAGCGGCCGAUAUCAGAUUAGGUUGUUGGUGAGGUAAAAGCUCACCAAGCCUGCGAUCUGUAGCUGGUCUGAGAGGACGACCAGCCACACUGGAACUGAGACACGGUCCAGACUCCUACGGGAGGCAGCAGUGGGGAAUUUUGGACAAUGGACGCAAGUCUGAUCCAGCAAUGCCGCGUGCAGGACGAAGGCCUUCGGGUUGUAAACUGCUUUUGUACGGAACGAAACGGUGAGCUCUAAUACAGUUUGCUAAUGACGGUACCGUAAGAAUAAGCACCGGCUAACUACGUGCCAGCCGCCGCCGUAA